CCACUCAAUCCCUUGAUUAAAUAGCUUCCCCUCUUAAAGCCUUUGAAGUGGAAGCAGCACCUCCGGAUCUUCAGCUGGACACCCUGUUCCCAGCAUGAAAGCCACGACGCUUCUAGGGGCCGGGGCAGCGAGCCCCCACCUGGGAUUCUCGCUCCUGCUUUCCUUCUGGCUAGCCCGCGGCGUGCUGGCCAAGGAGUUGAAGUUUGUGGCGCUGGUAUUUCGGCAUGGAGAUCGAAGCCCCAUUGAAACCUUUCCCAAUGACCCCAUCAAGGAAUCUUCAUGGCCACAAGGAUUUGGCCAACUCACUCAGCUUGGUAUGGAGCAGCAUUAUGAACUUGGAGAGCAUAUAAGGAAAAGAUAUGGAAGAUUCUUGAAUGAGUCCUAUAAUCACGAACAGGUUUAUGUUCGUAGCACAGACGUUGACCGGACUUUGAUGAGUGCUAUGACAAAUCUUGCAGCCCUGUUUCCCCCAGAGGGCCCCAGAAUCUGGAAUCCCAGCCUACUCUGGCAACCCAUCCCAGUGCACACAGUCCCCCUGUCUGAAGAUCGGUUGCUGUACCUGCCUUUCAGAAACUGCCCUCGUUUUCAAGAACUUCAAAGCGAGACUUUGCAAUCGGAGGAAUUCCAGAAGAGGCUGCAACCUUACAAGGAUUUUAUAGAAACUUUGCCAACACUUUCAGGAUUUCAUGGCCAAGACCUUUUUGGAAUAUGGAGUAGAGUCUAUGACCCUCUAUUUUGUGAGAGUGUUCACAAUUUCACUUUACCUUCCUGGGCCACGAAGGAGACCAUGACCAAGUUGAGAGAAUUAUCUGAAUUGUCCCUGCUGUCCCUCUAUGGAAUUCACAAACAGAAGGAGAAAUCUAGGCUCCAGGGUGGUGUCCUGGUCAGUGAAAUCCUCAAUCACAUGAAGAGUGUCACCCAUUCACCGAGCUACAGAAAACUUAUCAUAUAUUCUGCACAUGACACUACUGUGAGUGGCCUACAGAUGGCGCUAGAUGUCUACAAUGGCCGACUUCCUCCCUAUGCUUCUUGCCACUUCAUGGAGCUACACCUUGAUAAUGGUUCUAAAGGUCAUCCUUGCUGUUGCCUUUUGCGUGGUGUCUGGUAUCCUAGUGGUGCUGCUGUUUAUCCUCAUCCGCCAUGGGCCCUGCUGGCAGAGAGACUCCUAUCGCAACAUCUGAACAGAAUGCCAAACAAGAGGGAAACCGGGUGCCACAGCCACACUCCCAAAAGAGCACCCCCAUUCCACAGAGAGUGUGCCUCCAGAUUUUGUCCUGUAGGCAGGAGUUGAGUGACCAGUGGACAGGGAACUCAGCUGUAAUUACCCUGACAAUGACUUCUUUGGGCUCCCCUAAGAAGAACGUCAUUCAUCUCUGAUAAGGAGCUACUGUAAAUUAAUUAGAAAAAGGUCAGCCAUCCAAUAGGAAGCCUGGAAAGGAUACUCCACAGCAAAGAAAAUAUAAGAUGGAACCCUUACUGAAAGUUCUGAAAUGCAGCAGAGCCAUCCAAGAAAUGAAGGACUUUUGUGUGAUUUAGGUUUGGGAGUUGGACCAACAUCAGCAACCCUCCACAAAGCACUUUGAAUGAUUUGGAAGGAUUAAGCAAGAAUCAGUGUAGGGGCCAGCGCUAUGGCGUAGCGGGUAAAGCUGCCACCUGCAGUGUCGCCAUCCCAUAUGGGUGCCAGUUCAAGUCCGGCCGCUCCACUUCCGAUCCAACUCUCUGCUAUGGCCUGGGAAAGCAGUGGAAGAUGGCCUAAGUCCUUGGACCCCUGCACCUGUGUGGGAGACCUGGAAGAAGCUCCUGGUUCCUGGCUUCGGAUCGGUGCAGUUCCAGCCAUUGCACCCAAUUGGGGAGUGAACCAGCGGAUGGAAGACCUCUUUCUCUCUCUGCCUCUCCUUCUCUCUUUGUGUAACUCUGACUUUCAAAUAAAUAAACAAAUAAAUCUUAAAAAAAGAGAAAGAAUCAGUGUAAUGACAAGCUAAUGGAGCCUAAGAGUGUAAAAAUAAUUUCAGAGAAAGAAAGGGAGGGGACUGGACAGGACUAGAUUCACUGGGUUUGGAGAAUAAGCAGCUAACUCAAGAAAGACUCCAAGAUAGAGCAAGGCAAGGCUGUUACUCAGAAGAUCAGGUGAUGAACUGUGAAUGUCAAGCCAGCCAGGGUAAAAAGAGAUGGGAGCACUGUGAAGCUGACACAAAAGGAAAAAAUGGAAACGCAGAGGCAAUCAGAAAUUGUGCGAGAUUAAAUGGGAUUGGGGCAUGAAUGAGCUAGAAGAAUGGAAUGUUGGAUCUGUAACUGGAAGUUUAGACUUUGAUUUCCAAGAUACAUCAAACUUCCAGCGGUAAAGUGUGUCCUAGUCAAUGGGUAACUGGAUAGGGGUGAAAAUUUAGUCAUUGAUGGAUUCUCUACAAGAUCAUUAAACAUUUACAGGAUAAUGGCAGAAACUGGGCAGCAUAGGAGACCGAAAACAUCACUGCUGUUAUCAGAGAGGCCAACAGAUGAUGCAGGAAAGCAGUUGUCAGCAAGUCAGGCUUCCUGGAAGCAAAGCAAGGGUGAGGACCUUGGGCUGUGCAAUGUGCUGGCCAGGAUGUCCAAGCUGGAACUGAACUGCAGAAUUCCAAGUUUCUGGUAGUAGUGAACAGAUCUACUCGUGACAGUUAAUUCAUAAGAUUGUUGUGUCAAUUCAGUGAGAUGACAUAUACAAACCUAGUGCAGAGGUAGCUAGUAUUGUAACUAGUAUAAUUCUCCUGGAGC